GAUGAACGCUAGCGGCAGGCUUAAUACAUGCAAGUCGAGGGGCAGCGGGGUAGCAAUACCGCCGGCGACCGGCAAACGGGUGCGGAACACGUACAGAACCUUCCUUUAAGCGGGGGAUAGCCCACUAGAAAUGUGGAUUAAUACCCCACUAGCAAUGUUUAAUGGCAUCAUUAGAUAUUUAAAGUAAUUUAUUCACUUAAAG
rnacentral:rRNA from 1 species